GUGAAAUUUCUCAAGGUAUCAUUAAUUUGAAUCUCUAAUAAAAACUUCCUUACGCUAUGGGUUAUUUUUUUUCCUCUCAAAAUGAAAUUGAUGCAUAAAUAUGAUGAGGUCUACACUUGAUUGUAGAUGGAACUCGUCCCUGGUCGUCGAUCUUUAUGGUUAUUCAAUGGUGCAUGCCCUGCGACAAAGUAUCCGAUAAAUCAGAUUCGUCCAUUUCCAAUGUCGAUUGGUUAAAUCUAUUGAGCUGAGAUCCAGGUUCAUGAUGUCAACUUUAGCAUUUGGGAUUUCUUCUUUAACACUCUUACCAGCAUCAACAUUUCUCACAACCAUAACCACAUGAGCACCUCUAAGGGAAAGGUACCCUUGAUGUCUCCUUACCAAUUCCACUAGAUGCUCCUGAAUCAAAAGUUCAAUGAUUGAAAACGAUUGAUUUUACAACUCAGCGUUGACCAAAACUCGUAUGCAUUUCUCUGAUGCAACCCUAUGCAAUAUGGAUUCAGAUUCUCUUUCAAACAUCUUGAACAAGGAAUGCAAGUAAAACCCAGAUGAUGAAAAACAAGCACGAAAGG
rnacentral:lncRNA from 1 species